rnacentral:rRNA from 1 species
AUACGUAUGGGGCAAGCGUUGUCCGGAUUUACUGGGCGUAAAGGGCGCGUAGGCGGUUUGUUAAGUCGAAGGUGAAUCCUCGGGCUCAACUCGAGAAUUGCCUUCGAUACUGGCAAACUAGAGUGGCGGAGAGGAAAGCGGAACUCUUGGUGUAACGGUGGAAUGUGUAGAUAUCAAGAGGAACACCGGUGGCGAAGGCGGCUUUCUGGACGCACACUGACGCUCAGGCGCGAAAGCGUGGGUAGCAAACAGGAUUAGAUACCCUGGUAGUCCACGCCAUAAACGAUGGGUACUAGGUGUCGGGGGUAUCGACCCCUCCGGUGCCGCAGUUAACGCACUAAGUACCCCGCCUGGGGAUUAUGGUCGCAAGGCUGAAACUCAAAGGAAUUGACGGGGCCCCGCACAAGCGGUGGAGCAUGUGGUUUAAUUCGACGCAACGCGAAGAACCUUACCUGGGCUUGACAUGCUUGGGACAGCGCUGGAAACAGCGUCUCUCCUUCGGGAGCCCUUGCACAGGUGCUGCAUGGCUGUCGUCAGCUCGUGUCGUGAGAUGUUGGGUUAAGUCCCGCAACGAGCGCAACCCUCGUUACUAGUUGCCAUCAGUUCGGCUGGGCACUCUAGUGAGACUGCCGGUGAUAAACCGGAGGAAGGUGAGGAUGAUGUCAAGUCAUCAUGGCCCUUACGCCCAGGGCUACACACGUGCUACAAUGGUCGGCACAAAGGGUCGCUAAGCCGCGAGGUGGAGCUAAUCCCAAAAAGCCGGCCUCAGUUCGGAUUGGAGUCUGCAACCCGACUCCAUGAAGGCGGAAUCGCUAGUAAUCGCGGAUCAGCAUGCCGCGGUGAUAUGUUCCCGGGGCUUGUACACACCGCCCGUCAUAUCACCCGAGUCGGGAUACCCGAAGUCCGUGACCCAACCAUUUGGAGGGAGCGGCCGAAGGUGUGCCUG